CCUACGGGAGGCAGCAGUGGGGAAUAUUUGACAAUGGGCGAAAGCCUGAUCCAGCCAUGCCGCGUGUGUGAAGAAGGCCUUCGGGUUGUAAAGCACUUUCAGUGGGGAAGAAAGCCUUGGGGCUAAUACCCUCGAGGAAGGACAUCACCCACAGAAGAAGCACCGGCUAACUACGUGCCAGCAGCCGCGGUAAUACGGAGGGUGCGAGCGUUAAUCGGAAUUACUGGGCGUAAAGCGCGCGUAGGCGGUCUGAUAAGCCGGGUGUGAAAGCCCCGGGCUCAACCUGGGAACGGCAUCCGGAACUGUCAGGCUAGAGUGCAGGAGAGGAAGGUAGAAUUCCCGGUGUAGCGGUGAAAUGCGUAGAGAUCGGGAGGAAUACCAGUGGCGAAGGCGGCCUUCUGGACUGACACUGACGCUGAGGUGCGAAAGCGUGGGUAGCAAACAGGAUUAGAUACCCUGGUAGUC
rnacentral:rRNA from 1 species